AAGUUAAAGCUCUGUCUGAGGAAAGAACUGCCAUUAAAGAGCAGCUGGAUUCAUCAAACAGCACUAUUGCCAUUUUACAAAAUGAGAAAGACAAACUACAGUUGGAAGUUACAGAUUCUAAAAAAGAACAAGAUGAUCUCUUGGUGCUGUUGGCCGAUCAAGAUCAGAAAAUAUUGUCAUUGAAGAAUAAACUCAAGGAUCUUGGUCAUCCAAUUGAAGAAGAGGAUGAACUUGAAUCUGGAGAUCAAGACGAUGAGGAUGAUGAAAAUGAAGAUGGUAUCAAGGACCAGGAUCAUAUCUAACUCUAAAAUCUCUAGGAAUAAUAGACAUUAUAUUGUAAUUUUGAAGAUGGAAUCUUAAGAGUGUUUUGGUUUGCCUCUACAGGAAAUAAAGAUUUAGAAACCAAGUGGAAAACAUUGACUAAUAAAACUAUUGAUGUAUUUUUUAAUUUUGCCACCCAUGUUGAAAACCCUAAAACUCUCUACAGAACACCCAUUUUAUUUAAAUUCAUCUAAUCUGUCCCAAAAUAUAAUUUGUGAAGACAAAUGCUCAAGCGCACACAAAACCAUUUGAAGGCAUGUGGUGGCAGUGCUAUUGGCCUUAUUAGUUCAUUGGUUGUUUACUUUUCAGAAUUUGUGGCUUUUAAAUACUAACACAUUUGAUUUUUACGUAUUGGAUUGGAAUCAUUGUUUCUAAAUUGAGCAUUUGAGCUCUUAGCUAAUGAUUUCCUUUUAUAGAAAGGAAAUUUACUUAAAGGCAAGAUAGUCUGGGCAUGUGUUAUCAGCACUUGGUGGCAUGUGACUCCCAAGAUGAGCAGGAGAGGGCAAUAGAGAAUGAGUGCUUUGACACCUGAUGUGGCUGUAUUUUGUACCUCUGAAGAAAGAAGGGUUCUGACACAGUGAUGUGGAGGGAGGUUCUGAUAAAUUUUUGCAGCAGUGUAUUAAUACAGUUGGUUUUCUUUUUAUUUUAAGCUAAAUAUGGAAGAUAAAUUACAAGUUAAUAGCUCAUACAAUUCAGUUUAGUAUUGUUUGGUUAUUAUAAAUGAUAUGUUCC